GACGAACGCUGGCGGCGUGCUUAACACAUGCAAGUCACGGGGGCCCAGCAAUGGGCAACCGGCGAACGGGUGCGUAACACGUGAGCAACCUACCGAUUUGAGGGGGAUAGCCGGCCCAACGGCCGGGUAAUACCGCAUACGCUCGUAAGGCCUCAUGGUCUAACGAGGAAACCUCCGGGGCAGAUCGAGGGGCUCGCGGCCUAUCAGCUUGUUGGUUGGGGUAACGGCCCACCAAGGCGACGACGGGUAGCUGGUCUGAGAGGAUGGCCAGCCACAUUGGGACUGAGAGACGGCCCAGACUCCUACGGGAGGCAGCAGUGGGGAAUCUUGCGCAAUGGCCG
rnacentral:rRNA from 1 species